GAUGAACGCUAGCUACAGGCUUAACACAUGCAAGUCGCGGGGCAGCAUGGGGGUUGCUUGCAAUCCCCGAUGGCGACCGGCGCACGGGUGAGUAACGCGUAUCCAACCUGCCCUUCACCACGGGAUAACCCGGCGAAAGUCGGACUAAUACCGUAUGUUGUCCAUUGACGGCAUCCGAGUGGGACGAAAGGCCUGGCGGUGAGGGAGGGGGAUGCGUCCGAUUAGCCAGACGGCGGGGUAACGGCCCACCGUGGCUACGAUCGGUAGGGGUUCUGAGAGGAAGGUCCCCCACACUGGAACUGAGACACGGUCCAGACUCCUACGGGAGGCAGUAGUGAGGAAUAUUGGUCAAUGGGCGUAAGCCUGAACCAGCCAAGUAGCGUGCAGGAUGACGGCCCUAUGGGUUGUAAACUGCUUUUAUGCGGGGAUAAAGUGGCCCACGUGUGGGCUUUUGCAGGUACCGCAUGAAUAAGGACCGGCUAAUUCCGUG
rnacentral:rRNA from 1 species